UACGGAGGGUGCAAACGUUGCUCGGAAUCAUUGGGCGUAAAGCGCACGUAGGCGGCCUGUUAAGUCGGGUGUGAAAGCCCCGGGCUCAACCCGGGAACAGCGCUUGAGACUGGGGGGCUUGAGUUCGGGAGAGGAGAGUGGAAUUCCCAGUGUAGAGGUGAAAUUCGUAGAUAUUGGGAAGAACACCCAUGGCGAAGGCGGCUCUCUGGGACGGUACUGACGCUGAGACGCGAAAGCGUGGGGAGCGAACAGG
rnacentral:rRNA from 1 species